rnacentral:rRNA from 1 species
AUUGAACGCUGGCGGCAGGCCUAACACAUGCAAGUCGAACGAGUGGCGGACGGGUGAGUAAUGUCUGGGAAACUGCCUGAUGGAGGGGGAUAACUACUGGAAACGGUAGCUAAUACCGCAUACCAUCAGAUGUGCCCAGAUGGGAUUAGCUAGUAGGUGGGGUAACGGCUCACCUAGGCGACGAUCCCUAGCUGUUCUGAGAGGAGGACCAGCCACACUGGAACUGAGACACGGGCCAGACUCCUACGGGAGGCAGCAGUGGGGAAUAUUGCACAAUGGGCGCAAGCCUGAUGCAGCCAUGCCGCGUGUAGGAAGAAGCCCUUCGGGUUGUAAAGUACUUUCAGCGGGGAGGCGUUACCCGCAGAAGAAGCACCGGCUAACUACGUACCAGCAGCCGCGGUAAUAC